UUCCUACGGGAGGCAGCAGUGAGGAAUAUUGGACAAUGGGCUAAAGCCUGAUCCAGCCAUGCCGCGUGCAGGAAGACGGCCCUAUGGGUUGUAAACUGCUUUUAUACGGGAAGAAUAAGGGACACGUGUGUCCUGGUGACGGUACCGUAAGAAUAAGGACCGGCUAACUCCGUGCCAGCAGCCGCGGUAAUACGGAGGGUCCGAGCGUUAUCCGGAAUUAUUGGGUUUAAAGGGUCCGCAGGCGGGCAAUUAAGUCAGGGGUGAAAUGGUGCGGCUCAACCGUAGCACUGCCCUUGAUACUGGUUGUCUUGAGUCAUAGUGAAGUGGCCGGAAUAUGUAGUGUAGCGGUGAAAUGCAUAGAUAUUACAUAGAAGACCGAUUGCGAAGGCAGGUCACUAACUAUCGACUGACGCUGAUGGACGAAAGCGUGGGGAGCGAACGGGAUUAGAUACCCCGGUAGUCCACGCCGUAAACGAUGGAUACUAGCUGUCCGGCACCUUGAGUGCUGGGCGGCCAAGCGAAAGUGAUAAGUAUCCCACCUGGGGAGUACGUUCGCAAGAAUGAAACUCAAAUGAAUUGACGGAA
rnacentral:rRNA from 1 species